UGUCGGAUAGGUGUAGUAUUUAAAAUCAGACACCAAAAAAACCCAUCUCAAAAUCCCGACGGGAUAUGCAGCAGACUGGAGGGGGAACAGCAGACACCCAAAAGCUGUCAGAGUUGGACUAGCACAUCAGGGUCAUCAUCGGGGAAACGGCACUCUCAGGUAGGCUAUAGGAAAAAUCUAAAUCAUUUUAUAUUUAAU